rnacentral:rRNA from 1 species
AACGAACGCUGGCGGCAUGCCUAACACAUGCAAGUCGAACGAGACCUUCGGGUCUAGUGGCGCACGGGUGCGUAACGCGUGGGAACCUGCCCUUAGGUUCGGAAUAACUCCCCGAAAGGGGUGCUAAUACCGGAUAAUGUCUUCGGACCAAAGAUUUAUCGCCUUUGGAUGGGCCCGCGUUGGAUUAGCUAGUUGGUAGGGUAAAAGCCUACCAAGGCGACGAUCCAUAGCUGGUCUGAGAGGAUGAUCAGCCACACUGGGAUGGAGACACGGCCCAGCCUCCUCCGGGGGGCAGAGGUGGGGAAUUUGGGCAAUGGGGCGAAGGCUGGUCCCAGCAAUCCCGCGUGAGUAAUGAGGGCCUAGGGGUGGUAAAGCUUUUUUCCCCGGAAUGAUAAGGACAGUCCGGGGAGAAAAAGCCCCGGCUAACUC